rnacentral:rRNA from 1 species
AACAAACGCUGGCGGCGUGCAUAACACAUGCAAGUCUAACGGGAAAGUCGGCUUCGGCUGGCAAGUACCGUGGCGAACGGGUGAGUAACACGUGGGUAAUCUAACCUCGAGUUUGGGAUAACCUUGCGAAAGCGGGGCUAAUACCGAAUAAGACCACGCUUGGUUCGCCAAGUGCGGUAAAAGGCGGCCUCUUCAUGAAAGCUGUCACUCGAGGAUGAGCCCGCGGCCUAUUAGCUAGUUGGUGGGGUAAUGGCCUACCAAGGCGACGAUGGGUAGCCGGCCUGAGAGGGUGUACGGCCACACUGGCACUGAGAUACGGGCCAGACUCCUACGGGAGGCAGCAGUGGGGAAUUUUGCGCAAUGGGGGGAACCCUGACGCAGCAACGCCGCGUGAGUGAUGAAGGCCUUCGGGUCGUAAAGCUCUUUUAGUGGGGAAGAAUCCCACCCGGGCUAAUACCUCGGGUGUCUGACGGUACCCACAGAAAAAGUUCCGGCUAACUACGUGCCAGCAGCCGCCGCCGUAA